rnacentral:lncRNA from 1 species
UGUGUUAAAAGACUAACUGAUUUGACCCUACAUUCUUAAAAAAAAUGCAGUCCAAGGAUUGUAUUUCAUGGGAGGGAAAAACACUUUAAACUUAAAUUAUACUCAACAAUUAUAUUUUAUUCAUAGAAUAUUUUUGAGCAAAGCUUAUGUUUUGUGAUUCUUAAAUAUACAUUUUUUAAAAAUAUCAAAAUUCUUACAUGCAGAAAAUUGUACAAGGCAUAAAGAAUGUAACUGGUUUCAGGGUUGGUGAUGUUGUAUAAGCUGAAGCCCACAAUACCCACAAGUUCCAAUUUUAGUCUCUUCCUCCAAGUUUAUGUACACUUUUGGAUGACCCAAAGCUCCUCCUCCACCACCAUCACAUGAUAUCACUCGACUUUCCACACUGCUGAUUGGUUGCUCUGCUAUCAAAUCAGCGCAGUUUUCAUUUACUUCUUUCUGGCUACCAACAAAGAGAAUCCUCCUGUAAUCAUCUUCAUCAUAAACCUGACCCACGUGGGUAAUUUUUUCCCCCGUGGGCGACAUCUGCACAUCAAAAUACCUGGCAGGAGCGGGGAACCCUGGCUGGCCCCAAGGCUGUGGCCCAGAAGGCACCUCAGGCCACAAACACCACUGCUGUAACUGCCUCCAUUGUCCCCCUCCAAUACUUUUUUAAAGAAACAAUCGAUGUUUUCUCAACACUGUAAUGCACUCAGAGUCAUGGUGACAGAAGAUGGAACUAGUGAUCUUUUCCCACCUCCCAGAAUUGGGCUGCAGUUUUCAUUAGAUGCUGGUACUUCUGAAAUUUGUCACUUUGCUGGUCAACUUGAUGAUAAACAUCUCCAAACUCAACUAUACUGGUCCUCUGGAAACCAACAUAUGAUUGUUUGAAGGCUAGACUUAGUGUCAUUCCCUCUUGGUUGAACCUUCCAGAUCCAUUGUUUCUUUGACAUAAGUAACAUUUGAACCCAGGAACAACUCCAGGCAUUGGAAAAGUACUUAUGGAGGAUGCCUUAGAUACCACAUACCAAAUCUAUUGCUUGCAUUAUGCUACACUGAAUAAAUAAUUUUAAAAAAUUUACCUGCUCUGUGUG